AUGAUACCAGCUUCCAUCAGUCGCUUGUUAAAUUUUCACACCACACUGGAUACUUUCUCCUCAGCUGCCUCUCAUGUGUUGGUUGACUCCUUCAUAAACAGAACCGUUCGCUCUCUUCCUUUAAAUAUCUUCUUACGAGUUUUAUGCACUGUGAAGCUUAAAGCAAUCCAACUAGAAAAUAGUGAUAUUAUUCAGAACUCGAGCACACUCUUUUUGUUGUAUGCUUAUUCAUGGCCCAGCAUAACGAGAAGUGGAUCCAGGGUGAGGCCUCCUAAGAUUUGUGGUAAUGCAAAUAAAUAAUAAUGAAAGCUCAUUGGAUACCGCAGUGUAGCUGUUGGAUCCUGCUGUGCCUUGUGUCACAUCACAUUUAAUGCAGAAAAAAGGUGCUCCAAAGAGAAGCCUCACAAAAGGGAAAGAAGGGAGUCGCAGUGAACAGAUGAAAUGCUAGCCCCCAGGGGCCUUCUCAGCUGUCAGACCCAAGUCAAUAGCUACUGGCACUGCGUCCAGAAAGCAUCCCUUAUUCCUCUCCGUCUUCUCCCUCCUCACAGAAGGAAGUUAAUGUGAAUGUUACAAAGUUCUCUAGUGUGUACAAAAGCUUUAAGGACUUCCCAUACUUUGUAGCGUCCUUCUGCUGCUUAGUGCAUUCCCUUCCUGACACAGCAUCUCUUGGUACAGAAAUCUUGAAUAAGUACAAACAGUUGUUCAGGCCAUCCUGUUGGUCAGUCCUUGUUCAAACGCCACCUGAUUCUCUGUUGAGAAGGAACCUAUGCUAGUUUUGAUUUACUAUCUAGGUACAUUGCUACCUCAUACUGCUCUGUUUCCCUGGUACCUUGAAGAUCAUGAUUCUUCAGAAGAGUGGUAAGCAUGAAUUGCAUCAGGAAUUCCUCAGGUAUGUCACCCUCUUUCUGGAAGUGGGUCUGCAUGCGUCCCUUUCCUUUCUUUCCAGGGGACACUGAAAUAUCAGUGCCUAGAUGGCACAGAAAUGAUGGAAUGUUAGUGCCUCCCUGAUGCAGAGACAACAGAUUGGUCUGUGCGAUCAAUAGAAGAAACCACAAAACAUAAUUAUGAGUGUUUCCAUAUCUGAAUAGGAGAAGCCUGGUAAGAGCUCUAAACUAGCUGACGGGAUGGAGACAGUGACUGUGAAAUACUGUGGGAAACCAGAGAAGUCAUGCAGCCUAAAAGCUUGGUCAUAAUGAGAGAUCUUGGUUAUCAAUGUAUGGACUAGAUAAGCUUAACAUUAGGCUAUCAUGCAUAAGCUGUUCUUUUUUUAGGUACCAUCGAGAACUACUUUUUUGAGCAA
rnacentral:lncRNA from 1 species